rnacentral:tRNA from 1 species
UGGUGCUGGCCUGGUCGGCGCGCUCGGGCCGGUUCACCCGCCCGGGCGACCGCGGCCCGGUCCCGCUGUUCGACGCGGCGAGCACCGC